ensembl:lncRNA
ACUUUGCUACAUUAGCUGAGGACCUCAAUUCUCAUCUAUCGGUUGGACUGAAGUCUUUACUUUAACCAUUUAUUAUUUACUGAAAUGAGUUAAAUGCCUGAAUGAAUGUAAAAGUUACAUCUUUUAGAACAGAUUCUAAUUGAUAGUUUAUUUAAUAAAAAACGGUCCGCCUGGUUAAAAAAAGCUGUUGUAUUCAUUAUGGCUUAUUUUCCUGUGUAUGACAAUUCCACUUCUGUUUAAAUUAUAACUAACCAAUGACCCAAAAAGUGCGAUAAUUAAGGGCGAAUCCACUUUGAGGGACAAGCUGGUGCCGUACCAGGCCGUCUCCACCUCAAGGCUGUGCUGCCACUGCCAAGAUGGCGACCACUGGACCCGGCGCUUUCAGCGCCAUAAUGACUGGUGAUGUCGCUGAGACCAGUCAACAGCACAGCAUCAAGUUUGGAUUUUUUGGAAAUGAUGAUGCUCUCGAAAUAAUUAAAUCUCGUUGUCACCGGGACAAUAGAGCACGUCUCCAACAGGGUGCAGAUCAUUUUAUUUGAGCGGCACUACUAUUUACGGGCGUAAUUGGAUCUUCAAACCGCCAAGAGAUGCGCCCUUUUCGCAAAAUCCAUUAGCACACCACAACACUUUGCCCCUGGGACGAGCACUGGGG